CAUUAUGAGAGUUUGAUCCUGGCUCAGGACGAACGCUGGCGGCGUGCCUAAUACAUGCAAGUCGAACGCUUUUUCUUUCACCGGAGCUUGCUCCACCGAAAGAAAAAGAGUGGCGAACGGGUGAGUAACACGUGGGUAACCUGCCCAUCAGAAGGGGAUAACACUUGGAAACAGGUGCUAAUACCGUAUAACACUAUUUUCCGCAUGGAAGAAAGUUGAAAGGCGCUUUUGCGUCACUGAUGGAUGG
rnacentral:rRNA from 1 species